AGCUGGUGAGGCAGGCCCUGAUCCUGGAAGCCAUGGGCACCUAAGAGCACUCUGCAGGGACCACUCUCUUCUCCACGGUGCUCCCCUCAUGCGUGACCUGGCAGGUGUAGCUGCUUCUAGAUUUCCACUGGUCAGGUGACAGGCUC